AGUGAACGCUGGCGGUAGGCCUAACACAUGCAAGUCGAACGGCAGCACAGUAAGAGCUUGCUCUUACGGGUGGCGAGUGGCGGACGGGUGAGGAAUACAUCGGAAUCUACUUUUUCGUGGGGGAUAACGUAGGGAAACUUACGCUAAUACCGCAUACGACCUACGGGUGAAAGCAGGGGAUCUUCGGACCUUGCGCGAUUGAAUGAGCCGAUGUCGGAUUAGCUAGUUGGCGGGGUAAAGGCCCACCAAGGCGACGAUCCGUAGCUGGUCUGAGAGGAUGAUCAGACAGACUGGAACUGAGACACGUUCCAGACUCCUACGGGAGGCAGCAGUGGGGAAUAUUAGACAAUGGGCGCAAGCCUGAUCCAGCCAUACCGCGUGGGUGAAGAAGGCCUUCGGGUUGUAAAGCCCUUUUGUUGGGAAAGAAAAGCAGCAGGUUAAUACCCCGCUGUUCUGACGGUACCCAAAGAAUAAGCACCGGCUAACUUCGUG
rnacentral:rRNA from 1 species